UACAUGGGGUGCAAACGUUGCUCGGAAUUAUUGGGCGUAAAGCGCACGUAGGCGGUUUGUUAAGUCGGAUGUGAAAGCCCUCGGCUUAACUGAGGAAGUGCACCCGAAACUGAGUAGCUAGAGUACGAAAGAGGGUCGCGGAAUUCCCGGUGUAGAGGUGAAAUUCGUAGAUAUCGGGAGGAACGCCGGUGGCGAAGGCGGCGACCUGGGUCGAGACUGACGCUGAGGCGCGAAAGCGUGGGGAGCAAACAGG
rnacentral:rRNA from 1 species